rnacentral:rRNA from 1 species
UACGUAGGGUGCGAGCGUUGUCCGGAAUUAUUGGGCGUAAAGGGCUCGUAGGCGGUUUGUCGCGUCGGGGAGUGAAAACCCCAGGGCUUAACCCUGGGCUGGCUUCCGAUACGGGUAGACUAGAGGUAUGCAGGGGGAGAACGGAAUUCCUGGUGUAGCGGUGAAAUGCGCAGAUAUCAGGAGGAACACCGGUGGCGAAGGCGGAUCUCUGGGCCUUACCUGACGCUGAGGCGCGAAAGCGUGGGGAGCAAACAGG